rnacentral:rRNA from 1 species
CCAAUAGCGUAUAUUAAAGUUGUUGCAGUUAAAAAGCUCGUAGUUGAAUUUCGGGAUCAGUAUGUUGGUCGUGCUUCGGUACGUACUGUCAUUACUGGUUUCUACCUUCUGAAGAACCAUGAUGUCAUUAAUUUGGUGUCUUGGGGAAUCAGGACUGUUACUUUGAAAAAAUUAGAGUGUUUAAAGCAGGCUCGCGCUUGAAUACAUUAGCAUGGAAUAAUGAAAUAGGACGUUUGAUUCUAUUUUGUUGGUUUCUAGGAUCGACGUAAUGAUUAAUAGGGAUAGUUGGGGGCAUUAGUAUUCAAUUGUCAGAGGUGAAAUUCUUGGAUUUAUUGAAGACUAACUACUGCGAAAGCAUUUGCCAAGGAUGUUUUCAUUAAUCAAGAACGAAAGUUAGGGGAUCGAAGACGAUCAGAUACCGUCGUAGUCUUAACCAUAAACUAUGCCGACUAGGGAUCGGAUGAUGUUAUUUUUAAUGACUCAUUCGGCGCCUUACG